rnacentral:rRNA from 1 species
UAAGGAAUAUUGGUCAAUGGACGCAAGUCUGAACCAGCCAUGCCGCGUGAAGGAUGAAGGUCCUCUGGAUUGUAAACUUCUUUUAUCUGGGACGAAAACGGGAUUUUUAUCUCAAUUGACGGUACCAGAGGAAUAAGCACCGGCUAACUCCGUGCCAGCAGCCGCGGUAAUACGGCGGGUGCGAGCGUUAUCCGGAUUUACUGGGUUUAAAGGGUGCGUAGGUGGGCUUAUAAGUCAGUGGUGAAAUCUCCGAGCUUAACUUGGAAACUGCCGUUGAUACUAUAGGUCUUGAAUUAUCUGGAGGUAAGCGGAAUAUGUCAUGCAGCGGUGAAAUGCUUAGAUAUGACAUAGAACACCAAUUGCGAAGGCAGCUUACUACAUAUAAAUUGACGCUGAGGCACGAAAGCGUGGGGAUCAAACA